GACGAACCGAGCGAACGUUAUUCGGAAUCACUGGGCUUAAAGGGUGCGUAGGCGGGCUGUCAAGUCUGGGGUGAAAUCCGGCAGCUUAACUGUCGAACUGCCUCAGAUACUGAUGGCCUCGAGGGAGGUAGGGGCAUGCGGAACUGUAGGUGGAGCGGUGAAAUGCGUUGAUAUCUACAGGAACGCCGGUGGCGAAAGCGGCGUGCUGGACCUCUUCUGACGCUGAGGCACGAAAGCUAGGGGAGCAAACGGG
rnacentral:rRNA from 1 species